rnacentral:sRNA from 1 species
AAAAAAGUUUUCUAGGGUUCCGCAGCAUCGCUGGCCUGGUCCGAGAGAAGACACACAGCUCAUGCUGUGACACGGAGGGACAAAAGCCUGGGAGAA